AUGGUACAUGAGACGGAAGGGGGGAGGGAUUGACAGCAGGACUCCCUCCCAGCCAAUGAGAGAGAGUCUUACAACCAGCCAAUAGGAGAGGGAGAGAGGAGGAGCGGGAGUUCAGGCCACUAUUUGUUGCGGCAACAGUUAAGGCGCGUGGGGGUCUAGGGCGUCUUCCCAUCGCGGGGCCCGUCUGAGGCCGCCCGCCCCACCCCGCCCCUAGGCGGGCUCCGAGCGGCCCGGCCGCUCUGACGCAGACCGGAGACGGGGGCCGCCGCUCUGGCUCCCCUGAGAAAUAACGUCUCAGGAAGAAAGACAAGUAUGAUGCAGCAACAGCAGCUUUUAGAAAUCAGUGAAAAUUUGUGGGGGCGGGAAGUAACAUCCAAUGUAAAAAGUAAAGCAGAAGAUAGGUCUGUUCUGAAAUAAAGCAUGAAGACAAACAUACUAAAGUAUUUGUAUAUAAAUAGGAGGAGAAUGGGGGAAAGGAUGCCAUUUUAUGGCAAACGAAUUUACAUUUCCAGCAAGCUACUGCACAGUUUGACAAGGCAGACCCCACCAGGCAGACCUGUGGGGCAAGGAUGCAAGUGAUGAUGAACAAAAUACAAAAACAACAGUGGGUAUCUGCUACAGCCCACGUGGUUUAGCUAGGGGAGAAUAAGAAUGGAACUUCAUGGACCAAUGCUCAUGGUACUCCAUCCCACGUGAUUACCUUGUUCAAUGGAGGUAUUUAACUAUUUACUGCAUAACAAAGGCAUCCAAAUAUGAAUCAAAGAGGUUCCUAAAUUACACACACACAAAAACAAACACAAAAAUAGAGACUUGAACAAGAAGAGAAGCCACCUUGGGUCUGCUUCUUAAUGGUCCAAUUCAUUCCCUGGAUUGGAGUAACAGAUGGCAGGAGACUGUGGGAGAGGGAUUCCCUGGGGAGAGAUGGGGUUUCUCUCUUCAUAGGCAAGAUUAUGGGAUCCACCCCCUACAGCUGAAAGAUGUCUAGAAAUUCUUCUGGGGCAUAUGCAGGAAGCAAGAGCUAUCUGUAUAGAUGCCCACUGCCUCCUCUCCUGCUUCCCAGCCCCGGGACAGCCAAAAUGGGGAAAGAUACAGCUCAUAUUGUUAUAAGUGGGGUUAAAUCUUGUUACGGGUUGUUUUAAAACCUAAUCAAAAUUGAUGUGUGAACAUUCCCUUCACUUAAGAUAGUUGUGGGACAGUUAAGGGGCCACAUCCAAGAGAAGGGCUAAUAGAGGCCACCCAGGAGUUUUGGAUUGUGUAGGCAGAGUGGCUUUUUGUGGAGUAUUGUUUUUUGUGUGUGCACAUGCAUAUGUGUACACAUAGGAAGGGAGAAUACACAGAAACUAGGGACAGAUAAGAACACAGAGAAAGGCAGAGGCAAAAAACAACAAAGCCAACCAAUAGCUGAAGAACACAGUGCAACCCUGGAGAAAGCUAGAGAGUUUUUGGCUAAAGAGAUUUGAAGGCUGUGAGAUAAGAAACUACUCCUUUUGUUCUUGGUUCCUCCUCCUUUGGAGAAACAGGAUUUUGUACAUUGUUUAUAAAUAAACAAGAUUGCAUCAAAGAAACUACCAGACUGCAUCAAGUUGUGCUUCCAGCUGGAAAAUUCCCAGGGCCCUAAACUUUGACUAGCUGUACAGGUCGGAAAUGAGUAACACUGAUGUGAGGAAUGAGAUCCAGUUUCCAAGGAGUGAGACUGUGAGCUGGUAUUCCUGCUGAACCAAGAUAGAGCAAAUAAUGGAGGUGCUUGUAGAGAUCAAAAAAGGUCAUCAGGAAUUAUAACAGGACUAAAAUGAUUUAAAACAAGACCUGAAACAGGGGCUGGAGGCUUCACAACAGGGAUUAAAGCAGCAUCUGGAGGUUUACCAGAAAGAGCUCAAAGAUGACUUGCAGGCAGAGGUGAAAACUCUGUUGGAGCAACAACUACAAAGCAUCUGGACAGACUGGGAAUUCCAGCUGCAAAACUCCCAGUCUGGAAUGGUAAAAUGGAUUGGUGAGGUGACCAACAAUCUGACUGACAUAUACCAGAAGUUUUUCCAUAAAACAAUGAAGACCAAGCAAGCUAUAGCUAAUCUGGAAUUUGCUAAUUGAGAUGAGCUGGAUCAAGGAUUCAUGAAUUUAAAAAUUCAGCUCCAGAAGGAAAUCAAAGGGUCACUGACUACAGUGGAAAGCAGCCUCAUGGAUGCGGAAUUGGGAAACCUGCCCACUUUGCAAUGAAGACACAGGCAAAAGUCACUUGAGUGCUGAUAGUCCUCCAGUGCCUUCCCACAAUUCCCCGUGAAGGACAGAAAAGGUAGGACAUGGACAUUGGCUGUGUAAGCGCCCCCACACUGCCAUGCCAAUGUGCCUCAACCCGGGACUGGAGGGACCCUAGAGGUGAAAGACUUUUCAUCUUCAGCUCUGUCAUAGAAGGGAGCAGAAGUGGUGCCACUAUGCAGAAUAAGGACAACUGAGGGGGUAAUAUUGUUCCUGAAGAGGACUUCUUCUUUUGUCCCAAGAGAAACUUCAGUUUACCUUGAAA